UAGUUAGUAUUUUUAGUUUUGCAUGAUUUAUAUAGUUUUGCAUGAUUAGUUUAAUUUUUUUGUGCAUGUUUAGAUUACAUUUUAGCAUAUAGUUGCAUGUUUAUAAUUGCAUACCUCACAGUUCUUACCGUUUAGAAAAAUUUUGUCUAGCCAAUGAUGAGAGUGAAGUUUUUAAAUGAUUUCUGAAUAUUUUGGAUAACAUGAGCUGAGAUGUAACGGUUUUAUACAAUGAAAUUCAUAAUGUUGUUUAGAUGCUUUUGGUUUGCACAAAUGUGUUCACAAACACUUGUAGGUAUAAGAAGUACGUUGUGCCUUGCGCGAUAGAAAAACGUAGUCUUAAAAAGAGAAAUAUGUGAAAAGUGACUUUUGGACUGUAUAAAACAUU
rnacentral:lncRNA from 1 species